CCUACGGGAGGCUGCAGUGGGGGAUAUUGCACAAUGGUGGAAACCCUGAUGCAGCGACGCCGCGUGGGCGAAGAAGUUUUUCGGUAUGUAAAGCCCUAUCAGCAGGGAAGAAGAAAUUACGGUACCUGCGCAAGAAGCACCGGCUAAAUACGUGCCAGCAGCCGCGGUAAUACGUAUGGUGCAAGCGUUAUCCGGAUUUACUGGGUGUAACGGGAGCGCAGGCGGCACGGCAAGCCUGAUGUGAAAGCCCGCGGGCCAACCGCGGGACUGCAGUGGGAACUACCGGGCUGGAGUGCCGGAGAGGUAGGCGGAAUGCCUAGUGUAGCGGUGAAAUGCGUAGAUAUUGGGAGGAACACCAGUGGCGAAGGCGGCCUGCUGGACGGUGACUGACGCUGAGGCUCGAAAGCGUGGGGAGCAAACAGGAUUAGAUACCCCAGUAGUC
rnacentral:rRNA from 1 species